UACAGAGGUCUCAAGCGUUGUUCGGAUUCAUUGGGCGUAAAGGGUGCGUAGGCGGCGCGGUAAGUAUGGUGUGAAAUCUCCCGGCUUAACUGGGAGGGUGCGCUAUAGACUGUGGGACUAGAGUGUGGGAGAGGAAAGUGGAAUUCCUGGUGUAGCGGUGAAAUGCGUAGAUAUCAGGAGGAACACCGGUGGUGUAAACGGCUUUCUGGACCAUAACUGACGCUGAGGCGCGAAAGCUAGGGGAGCAAACAGG
rnacentral:rRNA from 1 species